rnacentral:lncRNA from 1 species
UAUGGAUGUUGGCUUGUUGGAUCUUUUGGAUGCCCUGCUGAUAUUGCUCCAUUACCGUUGCAGGAUUUGUCUGGUUCCCUACUGAUGCAGGAUUCAAUAACUUGUUCUAUUAGUUAUUAAUGAUGUGCAGUCUCAUUUUGCAGGCUAUUAAUAAUUACUACAAAUGGCUAGAAAUGAAUUGCUUUGAAGGUCAAUGAAGGAGCUUUCAUUUACCUGGCAUACUUGAAGAUUGGAGUGGGUUGAUUACAUUAGUAUAUGUUUUGAAUACUGGAAGGUUUUUUCGAAUGAAUUAUGAAUUAGAAUAUAGAUAGGAUGUGUGGUAAUGGGAAUUAUAUUAGAAUUGAUUUUUUUUUGGGGAAAGCAUUAAAGGUCAUUAAAGCUUCUUGAUCAUAGAACUUUAUGGUAUGAAUUGGAAUUUAAAUGUGAAUUAAAAUGGAACUUGAGUAUCACCAUGGAAUGUAAAAAUGGACACACAUGGAAAGUCCUUGAAUAUAAUGUUGAAUGGAUAUGUAAUAGGUUAAAAUCAUGACUAUGGAUUGAUGUAAUUUGGAUAUUGAUGGAUAUGGUUAUAGGUUAUAG